GUGGGCUACGGGGACAUGCACCCUGUGACAAUUGGGGGAAAGAUUGUGGGGUCUUUGUGCGCAAUUGCUGGCGUGCUGACUAUUGCCCUGCCUGUACCUGUCAUCGUCUCCAAU
rfam:Oreochromis niloticus linkage group LG20, whole genome shotgun sequence.